AAUUUGUAGAGGAUGCUUUUGGUGAGGUNCCGCCCGAGUUCCCUGGAACGGGACGCCACAGAGGGUGAGAGCCCCGUCUGGCUGGCCACCGAGCCUCUGUAAAGCUCCUUCGACGAGUCGAGUAGUUUGGGAAUGCUGCUCAAAAUGGGAGGUAUAUGUCUUCUAAAGCUAAAUAUUGGCCAGAGACCGAUAGCGCACAAGUAGAGUGAUCGAAAGAUGAAAAGCACCUUGAAAAGAGGGUUAAACAGUACGUGAAAUUGUUGAAAGGGAAGCGCUUGUGACCAGACUUGGGCGCGGCGAAUCAUCCGGGGUUCUCUCCGGUGCACUUCGCCGUGUUCAGGCCAGCAUCAGUUCGGCGCGGGGGAAAAAGGCUUCGGGAACGUGGCUGCUCCGGGCAGUGUUAUAGCCCGUUGCAUAAUACCCUGCGCUGGACUG
rnacentral:rRNA from 1 species